GGCAAUGUGGCUUAGUGGUAGAGUGCUUGCUUGGCAUGCAUGAAGCCCUGGGUUCAGUUCCUCAGUACCA
rnacentral:tRNA from 1 species